GUUAGGAAUAUUGGACAAUGGGCGCAAGCCUGAUCCAGCCAUGCCGCGUGAGUGAUGAAGGCCUUCGGGUUGUAAAGCUCUUUAGCCAAUGAUUAUAAUGACUGUAGUCGGAAAAUAAGCCCCGGCUAACUUCGUGCCAGCAGCCGCGGUAAUACGAAGGGGGCGAGCGUUAUUCGGAAUCACUGGGCGUAAAGCGUGCGUAGGCGGCUUUGCAAGUUGGGAGUGAAAGCCCAGGGCUCAACCCUGGAAUUGCUCUCAAAACUGCAAGGCUCGAAUUCGGGAGAGGAUAGCGGAAUUGUCAGUGUAGCAGUGAAAUGCGUAGAUAUUGACAGGAACACCAGUGGCGUAAGCGGCUAUCUGGACCGAUAUUGACGCUGAGGCACGAAAGCGUGGGGAUCAAACAGGAUUAGAUACCCUGGUAGUCC
rnacentral:rRNA from 1 species